rnacentral:rRNA from 1 species
AGCGAACGCUGGCGGCAGGCUUAACACAUGCAAGUCGAGCGGGCACUUCGGUGUCAGCGGCAGACGGGUGAGUAACACGUGGGAACGUACCCUUCGGUUCGGAAUAACGCUGGGAAACUAGCGCUAAUACCGGAUACGCCCUUUUGGGGAAAGGUUUACUGCCGAAGGAUCGGCCCGCGUCUGAUUAGCUAGUUGGUGGGGUAAUGGCCUACCAAGGCGACGAUCAGUAGCUGGUCUGAGAGGAUGAUCAGCCACACUGGGACUGAGACACGGCCCAGACUCCUACGGGAGGCAGCAGUGGGGAAUAUUGGACAAUGGGCGCAAGCCUGAUCCAGCCAUGCCGCGUGAGUGAUGAAGGCCUUAGGGUUGUAAAGCUCUUUUGUCCGGGACGAUAAUGACGGUACCGGAAGAAUAAGCCCCGGCUAACUUCGCG